GAUGAACGCUGGCGGCGUGCCUAAUACAUGCAAGUCGAGCGAACGGACGAGAAGCUUGCUUCUCUGAUGUUAGCGGCGGACGGGUGAGUAACACGUGGAUAACCUACCUAUAAGACUGGGAUAACUUCGGGAAACCGGAGCUAAUACCGGAUAAUAUUUUGAACCGCAUGGUUCAAAAGUGAAAGACGGUCUUGCUGUCACUUAUAGAUAGAUCCGCGCUGCAUUAGCUAGUUGGUAAGGUAACGGCGUACCAAGGCAACGAUGCAUAGCCGACCUGAGAGGGUGAUCGGCCACACUGGAACUGAGACACGGUCCAGACUCCUACGGGAGGCAGCAGUAGGGAAUAUUCCGCAAUGGGCGAAAGCCUGACGGAGCAACGCCGCGUGAGUGAUGAAGGUCUUCGGAUCGUAAAACUCUGUUAUUAGGGAAGAACAUAUGUGUAAGUAACUGUGCAUAUCUUGACGGUACCUAAACAGAAAGCCACGGCUAACUACGUG
rnacentral:rRNA from 1 species